GACGAACGCUGGCGGCGUGCCUAAUACAUGCAAGUCGAACGAACCGCGACUAGGUGCUUGCACUUGGUCAAGGUGAGUGGCGAACGGGUGAGUAACACGUGGGUAACCUACCUCAUAGUGGGGGAUAACAGUCGGAAACGACUGCUAAUACCGCAUAGGACAUAGGAUCACAUGAUCCAGUGAGGAAAGGUGGCGCAAGCUAUCGCUAAGAGAUGGACCCGCGGUGCAUUAGCUAGUUGGUAGGGUAAAGGCCUACCAAGGCGAUGAUGCAUAGCCGACCUGAGAGGGUGAUCGGCCACAUUGGGACUGAGACACGGCCCAAACUCCUACGGGAGGCAGCAGUAGGGAAUCUUCCGCAAUGGACGCAAGUCUGACGGAGCAACGCCGCGUGAGUGAAGAAGGUCUUCGGAUCGUAAAGCUCUGUUGUUAGAGAAGAACAGCGCAUAGAGUAACUGCUAUGCGUGUGACGGUAGCUAACCAGAAAGCCACGGCUAACUACGUG
rnacentral:rRNA from 1 species